rnacentral:rRNA from 1 species
GAUGAACGCUGGCGGCGCGCCUAACACAUGCAAGUCGAACGGUUAAAGCACCUUUUAGGUGUGUAUAAAGUGGCGAACGGCUGAGUAACACGUUGGCAACCUUCCCUUCUCUUGUGGAUAGCCUCGGGAAACCGAGGAUAAUACCCGAUACUUCAAUGUGGCCGCAUGACGACAUUGAGAAAGCUUUGGCGGAGAGGGAUGGGCCCGCGGCCUGUUAGCUUGUUGGUGGGGUAGAGGCCUACCAAGGCAAUGAUGGGUAGCUGGGUUGAGAGACGGACCAGCCCGAUUGGGGCUUGGACACGGCCCCGGCUCCCUCGGGGGGGCAGCGGGGGGGAUCUUUCACCAUGGGCGGGAGCCUGGUGCAGGGACCCCGCCGGCGGGGAUAAGGCCUUCGGGUUGUAAAACGCUUUCAGCAGGGACGAGGCGGUAAGUGACGGUACCUGCAGAAGAAGCCCCGGCUAACUACGUG